UCUGUACAAAUUUUUUUUAUUAUAUGCGUGUUUUUUAAAAAUUUUUAUUUUUGCAAUAUUUAAAUUUAAAUAUUAGAGUAAUCUUGAUUUAGUAAUAUUAUUAAGUACUAACCAAAUUUGUGCCAGCAGUUGCGGUUAUACUAAUAGUACAAUAGAAAUUUUUCGGUGGGGAUUAAUUGUAAUUUUUCUUUUAUUAAAUAUUUUUAGGUGAAAUUUAAAUAUUUUAAUUUUUUAUUUUUAAUGAGGUCUUUAAAUUAAUUUAUAAACUAGGAUUAGAUACCCUAUUAUAGAAACUUGAAUUUUUACCUUAUUAUUAAUAGUUAUGUUCUUUAAAAUAAAAAAAUUUGGCGGUGUUUUAUUCUAUUUAGAGGAACCUGUCCUGUAAUUGAUAUUCCACGAUUAUUAUUACUUUAUUUUUAAAUUUACAUAUCGUUGUUUAAAACAUUUUUUUUGAAUAUGUUUGUUAAUCUUUUUAGGAUAUAUUUCAGAUCAAGGUGUAGUUUAUAAUUAAGUAGAGAUGGGUUACAAUACUUUUAAUUGGGGAUUUAAAUUUUAAAAAUUUAAUUAAUAUGGAUUUAAAAGUAAAUUUUUUUGUAUAUUAAAAUUGAUUUUAGCUCUGGAACAUGUACAUAUCGCCCGUCGCUUUCAAUUAAAUUGAAAUAAGUCGUAACAAAGUAGAUUUACUGGAAAGUGAAUCUAGAAUGUC
rnacentral:ncRNA from 1 species